UAGGGAAUCUUCGGCAAUGGGGGCAACCCUGACCGAGCAACGCCGCGUGAGUGAAGAAGGUUUUCGGAUCGUAAAGCUCUGUUGUAAGUCAAGAACGGGUGUGAGAGUGGAAAGUUCACACUGUGACGGUAGCUUACCAGAAAGGGACGGCUAACUACGUGCCAGCAGCCGCGGUAAUACGUACGUCCCGAGCGUUGUCCGGAUUUAUUGGGCGUAAAGCGAGCGCAGGCGGUUUGAUAAGUCUGAAGUUAAAGGCUGUGGCUCAACCAUAGUUCGCUUUGGAAACUGUCAAACUUGAGUGCAGAAGGGGAGAGUGGAAUUCCAUGUGUAGCGGUGAAAUGCGUAGAUAUAUGGAGGAACACCGGUGGCGAAAGCGGCUCUCUGGUCUGUAACUGACGCUGAGGCUCGAAAGCGUGGGGAGCGAACAGG
rnacentral:rRNA from 1 species